UUAAAUCUUUCUUUCUGUCAAUAGUAGGCUACCUCGUAAGACCACCAUGAAGCUCCUGUUACUCUUGGCUUUGUUUGGAUCCAACCUGGGUUUGUUGUUUCAACCAUCGGGCUAUGUCGACAGAUUUAAAGAUGUCAUCUUUGAAUUCCAUAAAUCACACAAUCUACUUUUGGUAAAAAACAAUCAAUUGAAGGAUUGUUAUUUAGUUCGAGUUAAUCCUCUCAUCGAAAAUUUAUUCAUGACCAAGCAAGGCCGAUAUUUGGUAGAGGACGAUAUAUACAAACAAAUACAGAGCCAAACCGACGAAACUAAGGUGAAUCUACCACAGAUUACACUCGACUUCGGUGAUUAUUUGGCUAAAGCUGAAUGUAGAAACGAUUUUGUCUUUGAGCUCAAAUUUACACCACCACAAACAACAGUUAUGCCACAAGCAACCACGCCAAUUCCUACACAAACAAUGCCUACUACUACUAUGCCCGUGACAUCCACUACUCAGCCAGCAACAGCCACUACUCUGCCAGGAACACCAUCUGUUUAGCCAGUGACCACAGGAACACGAAUAAAUCAUGUAAAUCAC